rnacentral:rRNA from 1 species
GACUCGUCACACUAUCAUUAACUGAAUCCAUAGGUUAAUGAGGCGAACCGGGGGAACUGAAACAUCUAAGUACCCCGAGGAAAAGAAAUCAACCGAGAUUCCCCCAGUAGCGGCGAGCGAACGGGGAGGAGCCCAGAGCCUGAAUCAGCAUGUGUGUUAGUGGAAGCGUCUGGAAAGGCGCGCGAUACAGGGUGACAGCCCCGUACACAAAAGCGCACAUGCUGUGAGCUCGAUGAGUAGGGCGGGACACGUGGUAUCCUGUCUGAAUAUGGGGGGACCAUCCUCCAAGGCUAAAUACUCCUGACUGACCGAUAGUGAACCAGUACCGUGAGGGAAAGGCGAAAAGAACCCCGGCGAGGGGAGUGAAAAAGAACCUGAAACCGU